UACGGAGGGUGCAAGCGUUAUCCGGAUUUACUGGGUUUAAAGGGUGUGUAGGCGGACUAUUAAGUCAGCGGUGAAAUCUCCGGGCUCAACCCGGAAACUGCCGUGGAUACUAUUUGCCUUGAAUAUUGUGGAGGUGAGCGGAAUAUGUCAUGUAGCGGUGAAAUGCUUAGAUAUGACAUAGAACACCAAUUGCGAAGGCAGCUCACUACACAAUCAUUGACGCUGAGGCACGAAAGCGUGGGGAUCAAACAGG
rnacentral:rRNA from 1 species